rnacentral:rRNA from 1 species
CACGUAGGGCGCAAGCGUUGUCCGGAAUUAUUGGGCGUAAAGAGCGCGUAGGCGGUCCGAUAAGUCGGCUGUGAAAGUCAGGGGCUCAACCCUUGGAAGCCGGCCGAUACUGUCGGACUAGAGUCCGGAAGAGGCGAGUGGAAUUCCCGGUGUAGCGGUGAAAUGCGCAGAUAUCGGGAGGAACACCAAUGGCGAAGGCAGCUCGCUGGGACGGUACUGACGCUGAGGCGCGAAAGCGUGGGGAGCAAACAGG